rnacentral:rRNA from 1 species
UACGAAGGGGGGCUAGCGUUGUUCGGAAUUACUGGGCGUAAAGCGCACGUAGGCGGAUCGAUCAGUCAGGGGUGAAAUCCCAGAGCUCAACUCUGGAACUGCCUUUGAUACUGUCGAUCUAGAGUAUGGAAGAGGUGAGUGGAAUUCCGAGUGUAGAGGUGAAAUUCGUAGAUAUUCGGAGGAACACCAGUGGCGAAGGGCGGCUCACUGGUCCAUUACUGACGCGUGAGGUGCGAAAGCGUGGGGAGCAA